CACCCCCUCCCACCCUAGCCCUCCCCGGCCCCCACCCCUCUCCGGGCUCCGCCUCCUCCGCGUCGUCGUCGCCCCGCGGCCGCCGGCGGCCCGUCGCCCUCGGCCCGACCGCUGGGCCCCCUCCCCUGGCCGGCGCGCUGCUGGCCCCCGCGCGAUCCCGGUUCGUUGGCGGCGGCAGCGGCCGCUCCGCCCGCCCCGCACCGGCUCGGCUGAUGACGCUGCAGCAGCCGGGCCCGCAGGUUCCGGACGGGCCUCAAGUCACUUCCGGGGCGGGGCGACGGCGGCGGGGGCGGGGCGACGGCGGCGGGGCGGGGCGGGGCGGGGCGACGCGACGGAGGCGACGGAGGUGGCGACGGCGGUGGCGGUGGCUGCGGCGGCGGGAGCGCAGCGGGCCCGGCUCGGAGCCCCCACCGCGGGCCGCACCCGCCGAGCGCGAGGCCGCCCCGCCGGAAACACGAGGCCGAAUUCCAAGCUAUUGUCCCUCCUCGCCGGGGUCGCGCGCUCCCUGCGGAGGUCGCGGCGCCUGCCUUCCGCUAGGCAGUGGGCCCGGGCCCCCGCCCCGAGGGGUGGAAGAACCUAGGCAUGAAAGUUAGGGAGGCAUCAAUCUCAGGAGUCUACAUUUAAAUCCUAAAGUAUGAAGAGUUUCAGCGGAGGGCUGGCUGUGUUUCCACCUACCGUACCCCAUAUUAGGAAGAAAUUAAAGAUGGUAACAGCCAGCACUUGUGGAAAAGAAAAUCACAGUAAGAGUAUAUGAGGAUGGGAGAGUCUGGGGCUAGGCAUCAAAUUAAGUGGAAUCCGCCAUGGGCGGAGAUCAUGCGUACUCUGUCUUCUAACCUUCCACCCCCAAAAUCUCCCCAUCCCAGAUAAACACACACAACCUACUCCUGCUCCUGGAAAUGUAAAGUGCAUGUCCCAAUUACCCCAUACACACUGUGAACAGACUUCCUUUUUUCUCAGGAUGUGUGCUGGGCGGUAGAAGGUUUACACUAAAACAUGCCCUCCACCUAGCUCUAGACAUUCCACUUGAAUGAAGGUGCUAAGUGAAAGGUUUGGAAAGAUCUUCAAAAGAAGAUUCAGAGAGGCAAAGUGUUCAUUAAUCAGGACCCUACAAUUAUGAGGAUAUGAGGCCUUUUCCCAUCAUUAGGUUGAAGCAGCUGCAAAUAAUCACAACAGGAAGGAGUAGUGCAUGACACCACAAUGUUAUAUGCUUAAAAUUGCAGUGGUAAAUGGCAAAGUGAUUUUUUAAAGAGAGAAACAGACUAAAAAGAAGCUCUUAGGGACCAACCAAGAAGAAGGCUUGACAGUCAAAACAUAAAAAGUAUGGG
rnacentral:lncRNA from 1 species